rnacentral:rRNA from 1 species
UACGUAGGGUGCAAGCGUUGUCCGGAAUUAUUGGGCGUAAAGAGCUCGUAGGCGGUCUGUCGCGUCUGCUGUGAAAACUCAGGGCUUAACCCUGAGCUUGCAGUGGGUACGGGCAGACUAGAGUGCGGUAGGGGAGACUGGAAUUCCUGGUGUAGCGGUGAAAUGCGCAGAUAUCAGGAGGAACACCGGUGGCGAAGGCGGGUCUCUGGGCCGUAACUGACGCUGAGGAGCGAUAGCAUGGGGAGCGAACAGG